GUGGAAUAUUGCACAAUGGGCGCAAGCCUGAUGCAGCGACGCCGCGUGAGCGAAGAAGGUUUUCGGAUCGUAAAGCUCUGUCCUCUGGGAAGAAAAAAUGACGGUACCAGAGGAGGAAGCCCCGGCUAACUACGUGCCAGCAGCCGCGGUAAUACGUAGGGGGCUAGCGUUGUCCGGAUUUACUGGGCGUAAAGGGUGAGUAGGCGGACUUUUAAGUCAGGGGUGAAAUCCCGGGGCUCAACCCCGGAACUGCCUUUGAUACUGGAAGUCUCGAGUAUGGUAGAGGUGAGUGGAAUUCCGAGUGUAGAGGUGAAAUUCGUAGAUAUUCGGAGGAACACCAGUGGCGAAGGCGGCUCACUGGACCAUUACUGACGCUGAGGUGCGAAAGCGUGGGGAGCAAACA
rnacentral:rRNA from 2 species